rnacentral:tRNA from 1 species
GUGGUCCAGUGGCUAGGAUUUCACGCUCUCACUGUGGCGGCCAGGGUUCAAUUCCCUGCA